GCUUGAAUCAAAUUUUAUUAGGGUCAAACAAGACUUGCCAAAAUGAAUAUAGGCCAGUAAUAACAAGAAAUUAUAAAACAGUUGUAUCAAAGUAAGCUACAAAUAAAAAAUAUUAAACUGGUAAAUAUAAUAAAGAUAAAGAUAAGAUAAAGAUAUUCAUUUAUUUGUUUAAAUAAAUCACAGAGUAGACAUGUAUUGUAGUUCACAGAAAAAAAACCCAAUAAUAUCAAUGCCCUCUUUAACCCUGAGUCUGCCCCUUUUUCAUUAACUUGUACACAAUUAUCCUAAAUUAGACUUGUUUAAAGCACAACCAGUCAUAAUACAAAAUUCUCUUUAAUUCUUAGCCAUGGCCAGCUGACCCUUUGUUUCAGAGAAAGUGAUUUUAAUUUGAUAUUUAGCUAGUUUCUUUUAUUUUGCAAUAACUUUUACAAAUAUUAUGAAAAAAUUACAUGCAUGCCCAACGAUCACAAUAAAAGAAUAUUGUUGGAUAAAAUCUCUGAUUUUUGUUAUUGACCUAGCCAAUAUACUAAUAUAUAUAUUGUUUAUAAAGAUAUUAAAACAAACAUGCAACAUACAAAAUAACAAAAUACAUAUUCAAGUUAAUUUGUAAAAUAAUGAUAACAACCAGUAAAUUUAUAACAAGUCUGUUAAAGAUAUGGAUAUGAUGAGAUUGACAAGCAUUACAUACAAAAGGUUCAUAUGUGUAGGAUUUUCAUAGAGGCUAGCUCCACAAUGUUCAUGCUCAUCAUUUAAAAAGUACUGGUACUUAAUAUUUUAAAAACAGGGUACGCACAGUCACAAGGUACUUUUGAAUACUACUGUCUAGGAUAAUAUGUAAGGUUUCCAAAUAGACAAGUUUACAUAAAGCUAAAACAACAUAUUUAAAAAAAAAAAUGACUUUGAUUUGAGC
rnacentral:lncRNA from 1 species